rnacentral:tRNA from 1 species
GGACGAUUAGCUCAGCUGGUUAGAGCGCUGCAUUCACAUUGCAGAGGUCGCAGGUUCGAAUCCUGCAUCGUCCACAA